rnacentral:rRNA from 1 species
GACGAACGCUGGCGGCGUGCUUAACACAUGCAAGUCGAACGGGCCCGCCCCUGUUUUUGGGGGUGGGUUGAGUGGCGAACGGGUGAGUAUCACGUGAGUAACCUGCCCCCUGCUCCUGGAUAACUGCUUGAAAGGGCGGCUAAUACGGGGUGUGCCGGCUGGUCCGCAUGGGCCUGGUCGGGAUAGUUUCAUCUUCGGGUGUUUCGGUGGGGGAUGGGCUCGCGGCCUAUCAGCUUGUUGGUGGGGUGAUGGCCCACCAAGGCGGUGACGGGUAGCCGGCCUGAGAGGGUGGGCGGCCACACUGGGACUGAGACCCGGCCCAGACUCCUGCGGGAGGCAGCAGUGGGGGGUAUUGCACAAUGGGCGGAAGCCUGAUGCAGCGACGUCGCGUGAGGGAUGGAGGCCUUCGGGUUGUGAACCUCUUUCUCCGGUGGUGAAGGCCCUGUCCGUUGCGGCGGGGUUGACGGUAGCCGGGGAUGAAGCGCCGGCUAACUACGUG